CCCUCUGAAGAACCUUCUCAGCAGACAGUCUGCCAUAACUGCAUUUCUGAGGUGAUGAACCCCGUUAGUUAACUCCAUGAAAGGAAGAUUUAUCAGAGUACUGUGGUGCAAGGCAUUGUGGGAGGAAGGAUUACUGGUCUUAAGAACUUUACAUUCCUGUGGAAAAGAACAGCAAUCACCUUCAAAACUUAUCUUUGAUUUGUUUACUGAUGCCUCUCAAGUUUUGGUUCUCUCUAGUUGCUACUCUCACCUCCUUCUACCAAAAAGAAAUCCUAUGUAGAAAAUGAUGUGACCAAAAUAUAUCCGUGGGGAAUAAUUGACCCUGGUCCUAUCCUCUUCCUACUUUUCCCCCUCACUACAACUGGCAGGUCUGUAAUAAACUUGGCACUUCCAGCUUGGAACCCUGCAGCCAUCACUACAGAAGGUAAUUUCAGUGUGGUAAUGCUUAGGUCUGUGGAGACAGGAAGACUAAUCAGUGAGGCUAACCUGGUCUGUGCGUAACAAGUUCCAGAUCACCAGCUCUAUUCUGCAAGGUUCUAAUUCAAAAUCCUCCCUAAAGGAUUCCAGUGUGCACUGAAGGGGAGGUGGGGGCAGGCCAGGGCCAGAGAUAACGCAAGGACUGUUAGCCGUUCAUCCCUCAAGAACCUCAGCUCCUGUCCUAAUGUCUACAUUGUCAAUUUUUGGCUCCCAAGUCAGGCCCAACCAAAAGACAUUUUUACAUCCAUGAUGGAGAACAUAUUCUAAAGCCCUCCUGUGUCUGCCAAGCUAGCAAGACCAUGAAAUGCUAGGUCUUAGAAGACACACUUGGUCUAGGAUUCUCAAAACCUAAUUUUGGAGAUAGCCAAGCAAGCUUCCUCAUUCCAUGGCCUUAAGAAAAACCCUGGACUCUCAACCUUGGCUGUUAAUACUGAGAAAUAAUACCUAUCUCUACAAAACCACUAAAGUUGGAUGUGAAAGUGCUCAUACUGUUCCAAGCUCAUCUCUCCUUACAUUCUGUCGCCCAUCACAACAAGACUACAAAGCAUCAUGGGGACCAUGAAGAGAAGAGAUGAAGAAACCACUUUAAGCAGGCACCUAGAAUGGAAGGGAGUGUGACAGGGGCCUUAUCAUCAAGCCAGGUCUCAUACUGCCUUGUCUCCUAACAGCCAGAGCUAACCCAUCCAUUCCACCAGCCCUGCCCACCACACCAUUAACACCAGCACUUUCUCCUCUGCUAGCAGGCACACUCUUCCAAGGGUAGAAGUGUGGAAGAUGCAAAUACCAGCAAGCAGUGAUGGGUCAGCAGCAGAGACAGUGAUAGCUACAGGAAGCACCACUUCAAAUGGAUCUAUACCCAGAUUGGUGCUUUCUUCUGGGAAAGAGCUAAGCAGAGCGUGUGUGUGUGUGUGUGUGUGUGUGUGUGUGUGUGUGUGUGUGUGUGUGUGUGUGUGUGCUUUCCUUACACAACUACUCUGUGUUCCUAUGUGCUUUUAAUGUCGUUUCUAACCAAAUCUCUGUCAAUGUGACAUACUAACAUGAGAAUGUGGGUUUUUGUUUAUUAACUAGAAGUAGGAGGUACUAGCUCUUGCUCUUUAAAAACAGAUCCAAUUGCAGCGACAGGGAACAUGUGUAGCCCUGGCAUGCUAGCAUGUGCAAUGUCUUUAGGAUGCAGUCAUUCCUUCCUGCACCUGAGCUUCUGAUGAUUUCUCAGUGAGAUAGCAUAGCCUCCUCCCACAGGACCUUGAUAUGCAGACACUCACUGAGUCCAGGCUCUAAAUAAUUCACGGAUGGCCCUGUCACUCAGGAGCAUCAGAGCCCACCAGCUGCCUUUGCGGUGGGAGCCAGGCUCUAGGUUUAAAUACUAUCAGGUACCUCUGAGACCACUUCUAGAAAAUACUACAAUCCUCUUUAUUUUCUCCUACUUUAAGCAACGUAAUUUCCAGUUUGAAAGAGGAUAGGUUGUCAAGUAAAUAAGUAGCAAGAAAGUGGCUUCCUUAAACAAGUACAUGGUCGGGUGUCCUUCCCUCCUCAGGCUUCUGGGAUGACACAGCAGAGCAGCAGGCACAGCCUGCCCUCCUCACAGCCUGCCCUCCUCACAGCCUGCCCUCCUCACAGCCUGCCCUUCUCACAGCCUACCCUCCUCCAGCCUACUCAGCAACUACUACCUGCCUCGAGCUUUCCAAGUCUGCUCCUGGUAUUCCUUCUCCUCUCAGUCUAUAAUGGAAUGAUCCUUCCUUCAAGAACAGCUCAAAACUAUAAUCUGUAGAUGUAUAAUCUUACAGCUUCCCCCUCCUUCAGGAAGGCUUCCCAGAUUACAGCAGCUAUGAAAAUGGUUUCUUCCUUCUCAGAAAGCCUACACUAGAAGCACCAGCCUCCCUCUGGCACUUAUCACAGUCUUAGAUUAUUACUUAUCUCGUCUUGUGUACAAGUCUUGUCUACUCAGUUGAAAUAAUAGAAUUGCACCAGUUAUAAGAUCCAAGAAAAGUAAAAUGUGAACUCUAUUCUCAGCUUUAGACACUGGCUGUGUAAUCCUGAGCUGAACUCUUAGCCUGCCCAAUACUUCCCCUAAAACCAAAAGAUCUGAAAAAGAAAAAUCUCUGGUCUCUGGGAUACAAUGUUCUUAGCUGUUUUAGUACACUUAAGUCACAUUAUUAAUUUUUUAGGAUUUAUUUAUUUUAUGUAUAUGAAUAUACUGUUGCUGUCUUCACACACACCAGAAGAAGAUGUCAGAUCUCAUUGAAGAUGGCUGUGGGCCACCGUGUGGUUGCUGGGAAUUGAACUCAGGACCUCUGGAAGAGCAGUCAGUGCUCUUAACCGCUGAGCCAUCUCUCCAGCCCCAAGUCACAUUAUUAUUAUUAAGACACAUUAAAUAACAGUGUCCAUGUUAUUUCCUACUCCAGUAGCUAAGCAAUUAUCCAGAACCAUCUAGCUGCUUGAGAAGUCUCAAUGGGGAUAAUGCAAUCAAUGGUUCUCUGGUAGAGCUAGCCCCACAAGGUAAAUGCAGUCUGCUCUACCUUAGGUAACACACUGGUACAGCCUCAGCCCUUCACAUUUAGAUGACAGAACUCUUAAGGUGUCAGACGUUCCUUUUCAAAGCCCACAACCUAAGCUAAUCAUGUUAUCUACAGAUUAUAAAAAUGAGGUGAGAUAUAAGCUUUUACACAAAGAUACAAACUAAGUUACUGGCAUACUGAAGGUUGGGAAGCAGGCCUUCCGGUUCCUGUUGUCACUUGCACAUUGCCAGCACAGUCUGGAAAGUUACAGGAAGCUGAGGACAAAGGAAGGGGUAGACACUUCUCACAGAAAUCCAUCAGCAAGGUAGGCCCAGGAACUGAAAUUCUAGAAAACUCUUCAUAAUCCUCUCUCCCAUCUACCUUCCAGCAUCCACCACCAGCAGAGAACCAACCAACUAAAGUAACAGAGAUAAUCUUUGUGUCCCUUUCUGCUGAACUUUAACCAGCUGAAAGAACUAAGGCCUAGACUACCACGAUGUCAGUUUCCAUCUCAGCAUGCUGAGCAGAGCUAUGAACACAGCCCCUAAGAGACCCUACUCUUCAAAGAUCCCUUUGAUCAAUUUUCUAUACUGACCUGACCUUGCCUGCAUUGUUCUUAGGAAGUCCCGAGGGAACUUGUCUUUUAAAUUACCAUCUACUCAGAAAAACAUGAUUUGAAACCAUAACAAUGCCUUUCUAUUACUGACAGGCUUUCAAGUAGCAAAGGCUAGCCUAAAGCUCACUGUGUAGCUCAGGAUGACCCGGAAGUUCUGAUUCUUCUGUUCUCAACUUCAAGUGCUAAGAUUACUGGCAUAAGCAGUCACUUCCAGUUUGUGACACUCAGGGUCCAGCUUAUGGCUUUGGGCAUGCCAGGAAAGCACUGGUCUACACCGUAGCCUCCCUUUAUACCCUUUUUUAACCAUCUUAUAAAAGUUUCCGUAAAGGAUAUUCAGGGACCUGGAACUUGUUUAAACUAGUGGAGACAGGUAAAUAAUCUCAGCACAUAAAAUCAAUAUGAAGUUCUUCAAAACUCUAACCCAGAACCACCACAUGGCAUAGAAAUUCCAUGUCUGGGAAAUAACACAGAGGCUCAAAUGUGACGUUUACACAUCCUGCUUAUUGCAACAUUCAACAAAGCAGUCAAGAAAUGGGAACAAACCCAAUAAAUCAAUGAAAGAACAGAUAAACGAAAUCUGCAAGCAGGAGACCUCAGUUCAAUCCUCAAAGCCUACAUUAAAAAGCAAGCAAAGCAGUGGUGUGGAUAUGUCAUCCUAGCACUGGAGAGUUUAGGCCAACAGAGCUCUACCAGAUUAGUUGUCAAGUUCUAGACCAGUGAAAGACUUUGUCUCAAAAAAUAAGGUAUGUGCACCUGAAGAUUUACACUGGACUGUCUAGUUUUGUCAAUUUGACGCAGCUGGAGUCAUCAGAGAUAAAGGAGCUUCAGUUGAGGAAAUGCUUCCAUGAGAUCCAGCUGUAAGGCAUUUUCUCAAUUAGUGAUCAAUGCGAGAGGGCCUAGCCCACUAUGGGUGUUUCAUCCCUGGGCUGUGGUCCUCAGUUCUGUAAGAAAGCACACUGAGCAAGCCAGAGUAAGCAAGCCAGUAAGCAGCACCCCUCCAUGGCCUCUGCAUCAACUCCUGCCUACAGGUCCCAGCCCUGCUGGAGAUACUGUGCUUUCUUCUCCAAUGAUGGACUGUGAUCUAGAAGUAUAAGCAGAAUAAGCCCUUUCCUCCCCAACCUGCUUUUGGUUAUGGAUAUGUCUCCCCAACUAAGACAAACAUCUAGGGUUGAUCUCUGUCCUCCACACACAUGUGCACACAUGUGCACAGCCAUGUGCAUGCACACCCAUGCCCAUAUGUGUACCCACAAACAUUAACAUUCAUACACAACAAAUAGAAGAAUGAGAUACACACAUGCACUAGAAUAUUAUUCCGCUUUAAAAAAUGGAAUCAUGUCACAAGCCUGUCACACCAGCACAUGGAUGAACCUUAAAGGUAUUAUGUUAAGUGCAAAAAGCCAGUCAAAACGAGAAAAAUAGGCUCAUAGUGGCACCUAUGCCAUUCAAGUGUCCACUGCAGUCUGAGCAGGUCUGAGCCAAGAAGACAGCCAUAGUGGUGGUGCACUUCGAAAGGGAAAUGGCCUAUUAAGGCAAACUGAUGUCCCCUGGAGAUGAUCAAGCCACUCAGCGUGGUAUAUGUUCCUGGAGCCCUUCUGUUUCUGGGCAAGGAGCAGUUUGCUGGUGUGGAUAUUCGGGUCUAUGUGAAGAGUAGUGGUCUUGGGACCCAAAUUUAUGCCAUCCCAUAGCCCAUUUCUAAAGCCCUGGUGGCUUAUCAAAAAUAUGUAGAUGAGCCUCUAAGAAAGAGAUCAAAGAUACCCUGCCCCUGUUUGAUACCAGAAAUCCUACCAAUAAGCCCAUCUCAAGGAUCAAGGUCCAUUCACCUUUGUAAUAAAACAUCCUGGAAUUUUAACGUUAAAUAAAAAACAAACAUGUUCUAAGUCCUGGGAACAGUCAGGAGGAUGGAGGAGGGGCAAUGAAAUAACUGUCUAGUUAGUUGUUCCUCAGUUUUGCAAGAUUAAAACAUUCUACACAUCUGUUACCCAGCAGUGUGCUCGCAGUUAAUAUCAAUGAAAGGUGCACACAUUUGGUUAUUAGUUUUUAAAAAUAAUUAAAAAUAAACUUUCAAUAAAAACAGAGGGAACACACUGACAGUAGACCUAGAAUCACAUGCUCCUCACAUGUGCUCUCAAAGCCGUCAGCCGAUCCCUCCAAGUCCUGUUUUUCCAACCUUAAGAAAUAAGAACUGGACUGGGAAUCCUGCCAAAUCUCAUUUUUAUAACAAAGGUCUCAUAAAUGAGUUACUGACUCAUACUUGCAUGCAGCACUGCGGGGUGACGACCUCUCAGCAGUCCCAGUUACUGCAGGGCCUGGUGAACUCUACAAAGCCAACCUUCACCCAACUGCUCCAGAUCUGUACUUUCCAGUCAGUAUCUCUAAGACUGAUAUUCCAAAGCUGACCAACUGUGACUUCAGACACUGUAACCUAUUAUACUGAGGCAACUGUAUAUUCCUUUAAUGUACGUGUAUGUAUGGGUGUGUGUGUGUGUGUGUGUGUGUGUGUGUGUGUGUGUGUGUACAGGAAUAUGGAAACACCUUCGCAUGUGUUAGACUAGUUUUCUCCACUUUGAGCAUUUUGUGACACCCUAUCAUCAACUUCUCUGAAAUACUACGACUUGCCCACCCAGAUACUGUUAGGGAUAAUUUUGGGGUAUUAAAGGCUCAGAAAGCAAUGGUCCAAUAUUCUUACUGAUCAAAAAAAAUCAUAAGAUUAUGGAAGAGUGAAUGGCAAAAAUCAAUGCACAGGAAAGAAGUCUGUAAUUUCACGUGCUUAUAAUCAGUUACACUCGUUCUUGUUAAUAACACUCUAAAAGAGCCUGCAUUUCUGACUCACCAUACAUAAAACAGUAAAAAGAAAAAUUUCCAUGAGCUUGAGUAAGCAUCAUAAAUCAUUUCUUAUUUCAUUAUUCUCAUGAAGAGCAAAGGUUGCUACUGUCACCUACCAACAUGUACUCACAAUCCACUCCUCACUGUUACACAGAACAGUAGAAGACGCUGGGAGUCACCUUGGUAACAGAACAGAGUUAGCUUGCUAACUCCUGAGGUUAUCUCAUGCCAAAAAUCAUUGGUAUUUCUGUUUGUUUGUUUUUGUUUUUCUCCCCAGUGCUAGCACGUAGACCCCAGGGCCUUGAGCAUACCAGGUAAACACAUCAGCCCUCCACAGCUUACAAUUCAUUCUGUCAUAUCUAUCAGAUGUAUGGUAUAAUAAAUGUUUUUGUUUGUUUUUUUUAAAUAACAGGUCAGCUAGGGCCCCUUUACCCCCCAUAAACUGGCUUUGCUUCUGUGUUUGACAGUCAGACACAAAAAGAAGAUACACGGAAAGCGCCAACUCUCAAUGUACAACCUUUCCUAAAGCAGUGGCAGGGCUUAGCUCUCUUGAGAAAGGUUUUAUACGCUCAACCAUUACAGAUGCCCAAAUGAGCUACAAAAGCUAUCUCAGAACCUUCCUCAUAAUUUUUUUAAAUUAACAAUUGUGGGGAGAGGUACAAGGUUUAACUACCUCAGAAAUUAAGGCUAUCUGGAGACGUAUAAAAUAUUAAUACCAAGAAAGGCAACUUACAAGAGGGCUGGAAAAGGCAAGUAAAGGUCCCAGGGUUUUGGUUGCCUCUGAGUCUUACGACUGGUAACCCAUGUUAGAGCGCACAAAAGCAGCCACAGAAAAUCUUGAUUGGAGUAUGUAAAAUAAGGAUUAAUAGCCCUAUCAAAGACUGCUAUUAACACUUCUGCAUUAUUCUAAAAUAUUCUCCAAGGUGAUAGUGACCCACGAGUUUUAAGUAUGAUAAAUAAUCCUGGAAGCCUGCUCAUAUUCCUUUUUUAUCAUCCUCUGAUACCAAGCGACAGCUGUGGUCAUAAAGAGGAAUGCACAUGAGAGCUAAAUUACCCCACCAGAGGCCAGCAUGUUCCAGCAAGAACUAGCCUGCUUGACUAGGGUUUUUAUACAUGGAUAUGUCCCUCUCCCUCAACCUCACUUAUUUGGUUGGGGGUUAGAAUGAGAAAAAUCAAUGUACCAAAACUUUAAAGUAUUUUUGUUAUACUUCCUCAAAUCGUUUUCUCUCAAAUUUAGGAACAUGCAGGAUCACUCUAAGUAUAGCAUAUAGACCUAAAACAGAAGUCCAAUCAGAGAAGACCAAAUAUGGCGAUCACACAGAUUCGUUUUCAUUAAAAAAACAAAGUCAUGGUAUACAGCUUGAUGUAUGUGCCUCAUUGGUAAGGAGGCUAUACAAGUCCUGGGCUCAACUGCCCAGAACUGCUAGAAAACAAAAUGUUUAAAAAUUCCAACCUAAAAUUCUUUUCCUGUGCUUCAUCGCAGUUCCUGGAAUGAGGACUGAGUCACAAAUGCCCUCUGAGCACCACUGCAAACAAGGGCAAAGGUCACCAGAGGCUAGCAGAACACGCGCCCUUUGAAAGCUUCUGGUUUCCCACAGGGACUUCUUAUUCUGCCACCUGCAUUAAGGCAAUAUUCUCAGUAUGGAACACUCCUCCCUGAGGAGGGAAACAGAGCUCUCUCUUUACAAGAUUUACUUUCAGUGUGGCAUGCUAGUGCACACCUUUAAUCCCAGCACUCAGAGGCAGAGGCAGGCGGCACUUGAGUUCUCAAAAUGAUCCCACAAGACAGUGUUCCUGUCCUGUAGAAGUUUAUCCACUACCUUACAGUAAUUGGCAGGGAGGAGAUGUAAGGCAGAAGCAGAACUCUGAGGCCAUUCUCUCUUAGCAUCCGCCUAGAAAUGAACAAUUCUGGAUGCCUGCCACACCCAGAAAGGCCUGGAAGCUUUGGCCAUAAGAGAAUUUCCCAAAGGCACAGUUAGAUGAAGAAUCUCCAAGUCUGUACAGUUUCUGAAGGCUAUAUACAGUGUACAGACAAAUUUAAAGAUGAGAUAUAAUCCUAAAACUGGAAUAAUUGUGAGCAAAGCCCUACAGUGGUCCUUGCUGAUUUAUUUGCCUGAAUACUCCACAAAAACGCUCUUGUGCUAACUAACACCUUGUGUGCUUAGGUGCCUGUAAGCAGAGCCAAGGCCCUGGUCCUUCUCUCCCUCGUGCCCUCCACAGCCCUUGAAGAGCCAGUCUGAGGGUCCAAACUCAACAGUUUAAGACCUGUUACUGACUGAGAAGUGAAGUGCCUCCAAAUACUAUUUUAGAUUUGAAGGUGGGCUUUCCUAAGAUCGUUCCAUGCCAGGGUGAGAGGGCUCAUUACCAGACACUGCUGCACUCCAGGAGUUGCAUCAAGCACUGUGAUAGUAAAAUCUAAAAGGAACUGUCCCCCUCUAGAGAAGCACAACAGUUUCCUAAAUGCCUUCUCUCCCUCAGCCUCUCUCUUCUCUCUGUCACUACUGGGAGCCAUCCCAGUGUCCCCAGGACCUCAGCAGCAGCUCUCCAGUUAACUCUCAGGGUCUCUGGCUCUCUGAAGGUGGGAAUCUCAGGGAGGCCCUUUGUUACAACUAGGGCAUCCUUUCUAUUUGAAAAAAAAAAAAAAAACAAAAAACUCUGCUGAGCUGAGGCAGCCUUCUAGGAUAAGCACUAAGCUCUUUGGCUUUUCUGCCCACUCCUUCUGCUUGUGAAACCUGUUCAUGUCUCUGCCUGGAAUUUUCUCCCAUGUAUUGACAUUGUAUCUCCUGAGUGAGCACAGAGCUCCUCUCUCCACAGACUCCCUCGCCCUCAUGGCCAGCCUCUCUAAUGCUAACCAUAGUGCCUGUCAGAAAGCAGACACUGAGUAUUAGGCCAUUCAUUCCAUUCUCUAAUAAAUGACUAAACCACUAACAUUCUGAUUCACAAAGCUUACAAAUAAAAAGACCACUUUGCUGUCCUUUAAAAUGUACCUGUUAGAACAGGAUAGUUUAAUGGCAUUAAUAAAAUCUAAUUAUCCAAGCAAUACUAGCAUUUUAAAAAGCAGAACAGAAGAAUAUCACAGCAGUUCAUGAUGUACUAGUAAAUACUACUUCAUAAAUUUGAACUAGGUACACACACACACACACAUAUAUAUCCAAAAAAAUACACUUAUCUAGCAAUGAGAUUACCAAUGUAAACAUACUUCUUCCUGGUAAUAUAGUCAAAAAUUGUUUCUUUCAAAAUAGUGAAAGUUACUAACCAAAUCAUUGUUGAUUACUCUGAAAUCCUUCAUUUAGCUUAGAAAAAAAA